UAAGCCUAUGCCUAAACUUAAACUUAAGCCUAAGCCUAUGCCUGAGCUUAAGCCUAAGCCUAAGCCUAAGCCUAC
ensembl:ncRNA F47F6.11 ncRNA